CUUUACAAAGCCUUGACCACAGGAGGAAUCCCAUCCACUCAGCAGCAUCUCAGCCCAGGCUGGGCUCGCAGCAUUGGCACUGCUCCAUUGAUUCGAGCAAGCCACGCUCAUUCACAUCACCCGAGGAUCUGACCUCAGGGAGCUGCUGCCUGCAUUUACCAGCUCUCUCCCCAUGUCUGGCACCUGUGAUUAUAUCCUUCAGCUUCACAAUGCAGACUUGCAGAGCAGCAUUUAAUAACAGGGAGGCUUUGACUGACUGGAGCUUUGAUAAUGGUGGUGGGAAAGGCACAAUCACUGCCUUUUCAACAGUAUACUUUGUGCAGAAAGCCUUCGACUGUGUCACAAUCUGAUAAAAAAAAUCCCAGAUUCCACCCAUAAUUAUACCUUCUCUCCUUUACCUAUCCACCUUCUUUUCAAAACUAAGCUAUUGUGGGUGACACCAGCCUUCCGGGAGGUGGGGUGGUGGGACACAAACCUAGAGAGAGGCAGAGGAGAACAAAUUGCCAUUCACCUCGGUUUUCCCUCAGCCCCUCCACCUGUCCAUGCAUGCCAUGGCUUCAUCCAGCAGCCACCCUGAGCUUUGCUAUAGGCUUUGCUAUGCUCCAUCUGCAAUCUGCUGAGAUUUCGGGGUGAAAAACAUCCACUGACUAGUGGCAUUAGUGGGAAGUUAUUGGAAAAGGAAACUCCGAGGAAGCCUGAGGGGUUUAUAGUCAACCAGAAACCAAGCUGAACUGAGUUGUUGCAUGGUGUUCAGCACCCAACAUGACUCCUGGCCAGGAGGAAGAGGAGGGAUGGUGGAUAUGAAAAUAAGAUGGGCACGUGCCCUGCUGCCCUGAGGCUUCCGGGAUGAAGGAUCCCACAGCAGCCCAGAAAACCCUCCCAACUCUUUCUGAAAUGUGAUUUGCCAUGUGGAGCCAGGCACAUGGCUUUUGGGCAGCGUCCGAAGUUUGGUUGGACUUUGGGCUAGUCCUAUAACUCCACAUAGGCUUCAUCUGUCCAACACAGUUCAUAAACAGCUAAGACUGCCCAACUCUCUCCAGAGACAUCCAUGCCCACCCCAGGAGCUAGAGGCUGAAGAGCAUUAAAUGCCUCCAGG
rnacentral:lncRNA from 1 species